GACGAACGCUGGCGGCGUGCUCAACACAUGCAAGUCGAACGGAAAGGCCCUGCUUUUGUGGGGUGCUCGAGUGGCGAACGGGUGAGUAACACGUGAGUAACCUGCCCUUGACUUUGGGAUAACUUCAGGAAACUGGGGCUAAUACCGGAUAGGAGCUCCUGCUGCAUGGUGGGGGUUGGAAAGUUUCGGCGGUUGGGGAUGGACUCGCGGCUUAUCAGCUUGUUGGUGGGGUAGUGGCUUACCAAGGCUUUGACGGGUAGCCGGCCUGAGAGGGUGACCGGCCACAUUGGGACUGAGAUACGGCCCAGACUCCUGCGGGAGGCAGCAGUGGGGAAUAUUGCACAAUGGGCGGAAGCCUGAUGCAGCAACGCCGCGUGCGGGAUGACGGCCUUCGGGUUGUAAACCGCUUUCGCCUGUGACGAAGCGUGAGUGACGGUAAUGGGUAAAGAAGCACCGGCUAACUACGUG
rnacentral:rRNA from 1 species